CCCUCACACCAUGGGAGUUUGUAAUGCCCAAAGCCGGUGGCCUAACCGUAAGGAGGGAACCGUCUAAGGCAGGACAGAUGACUGGGGUGAAGUCGUAACAAGGUAGCCGUAGGAGAACCUGCGGCUGGAUCACCUCCUUUCUAAGGAUAAACGGAAAGUAGCAGGGGCAUUAGAUUGCCAGUUCAAGAAGUUCAAAGUUUUGUUUAGUUUUGAGUGUGAUACCGACAUAGGGAUCAUGGUCAAAGAUGACACCUAUGGGGAAUUAGCUCAGCUGGGAGAGCACCUGCUUUGCAAGCAGGGGGUCAGCGGUUCGAUCCCGCUAUUCUCCAUAGGCAGUGUCAAAGCUGCCGGAGUUGCACAUUGAAAACUGAAUAGUAACAAAUUCUUUUAAAGAUAAGUAAAAUUAUUAAUAAAUUAAGCCGAGAAACAAAGCAAUAAAGAAGUUCUGUAACAGGAAUGGAAAAAACGCAGGUCUGAAAGAAGACCAACUCAUAAACUUAAAGCACAACUACGGUUGUGACGGUUAAGUUAAUAAGGGCGCGUGGUGGAUGCCUUGGCACUAGGAGCCGAUGAAGGACGUGACUAACUACGAUAAGCUUUGGUGAGCGGUAAGUACGCUAAGACCCAGAGAUUUCCGAAUGGGGAAACCCAACUCGCAAAGAGUUGUCAUUAUCUGAAUACAUAGAUUAUUGACGGAACACGCUGUGAACUGAAACAUCUCAUUAGCAGCAGGAGCAGAAAGAAAAAUCGAUUCCCUAAGUAGCGGCGAGCGAAAAGGGAAGAGCCCAAACCAGAGUGCUUGCAUCUGGGGUUGUAGGACUGAUAUAUAGGAGUUACAAAAGUGUUUUAUAGCAGAACAAGUUGGGAAGCUUGGCUAAGAGGGUGAUAGCCCCGUACGCGAAAUAAAGCACCCUCCUUUCAGUAUCCUGAGUACGGCCGGACACGUGAAAUCCGGUCGGAAUCUGCGGGGACCAUCCCGUAAGGCUAAAUACUCCCUAGUGACCGAUAGUGAACCAGUACCGGAGGGAAAGGUGAAAAGCACCCCGGAAGGGGAGUGAAAUAGUUCCUGAAACCACGACGCCUACAAGAAGUCAGAGCCCGUUAAUGGGUGAUGGCGUGCCUUUUGUAGAAUGAACCGGCGAGUUACGGUAUCGUGCAGGUUAAGGUGGAAAGACCGGAGCCGCAGCGAAAGCGAGUGUGAAUAGCGCGAAUAGUACGAUGCUGUAGACCCGAAACCAGGUGACCUACCCAUGGUCAGGAUGAAGGUGAGGUAAAACUUACUGGAGGUCCGAACCGGUGCAUGUUAAAAAAUGCUCGGAUGAACUGUGGGUAGCGGUGAAAUUCCAAACGAACCUGGAGAUAGCUGGUUCUCUCCGAAAUAGCUUUAGGGCUAGCCUCAUUAUUAGCAUACUGGAGGUAGAGCACUGUUUAGCCUAGGGGCCCACCUCGGGUUACCAAAGUUUGAUAAACUCCGAAUGCCAAUCACGUAUAUCCGGGAGUCAGACAGUGAGUGAUAAGAUCCAUUGUCGAAAGGGGAACAGCCCAGAUCGUCAGUUAAGGUCCCUAAGUGUGUGUUAAGUGGAAAAGGAUGUGGAGUUGCAUAGACAACUAGGAUGUUGGCUCAGAAGCAGCCACCAUUUAAAGAGUGCGUAAUAGCUCACUAGUCGAGUGAUUCUGCGCCGAAAAUGUACCGGGGCUAAACACACCACCGAAACUACGGGUGCCACGUAAGUGGCGCGAUAGGAGAGCGUUCUAUGGGCGAAGAAGUCAGACCGUGAGGACUGGUGGAGCGCAUAGAAGUGAGAAUGCCGGUAUGAGUAGCGAAAGACAGGUGAGAAUCCUGUCCACCGAAUGACUAAGGUUUCCUGGGGAAGGCUCGUCCUCCCAGGGUAAGUCGGGACCUAAGGCGAGGCUGAGAAGCGUAGUCGAUGGCCAACAGGUUGAGAUUCCUGUACCAGGUGAAGAUGUUUGACAAUGGAGGGACGCAGAAGGCUAACAGAACCCAGCAGUUGGAAAGGCUGGGCCAAAUCAUAAGUCUGACGUUGAGUUAAAUGCUUGACGUCGUCAAGGACAAGUGAUGAUGGGGACCGAAAUAAAGUAGAGAAGUCUGGAUGUCACCUGCCAGAAAAGCUUCUAGGAGUUUCUGCCCGUACCGCAAACCGACACAGGUAGUCGAGUGGAGAACACUAAGGUGAGCAGAGAACCGUUAAGGAACUCGGCAAAAUGACCCCGUAACUUCGGAGAAGGGGUGCUCAGAAGUGAGCCGCAGUGAAUAGGCCCAGGCGACUGUUUAUCAAAAACACAGGUUUCUGCAAAAUCGUAAGAUGAGUAUAGGGGCUGACCCUGCCCGGUGCUGGAAGGUUAAAAGGAGUGCUUAGCUUCGGCGAAGGCACGAAUUGAAGCCCCAGUAAACGGCGGCCGUAACUAUAACGGUCCUAAGGUAGCGAAAUUCCUUGUCGGGUAAGUUCCGACCCGCACGAAAGGCGUAACGAUCUGGGCACUGUCUCAACGAGAGACUCGGUGAAAUUUAAAGACCCGUGAAGAUGCGGGUUACCCGCGACAGGACGGAAAGACCCCAUGGAGCUUUACUGUAGCUUGAUAUUGAUGUUUGUGCGCUUGUACAGAUAGGUAGGAGACGAAGAGGAUUGGACGCCAGUCUAGUCGGAGUCAAAAAGUGGGAUACUACCCUCGUUGUAUGAACAUCUAACACUGGUCACUUAACGUGAUCGUGGACAGUGUCUGGCGGGCAGUUUGACUGGGGCGGUCGCCUCCUAAAAGGUAACGGAGGCGCCAAAGGUUGCUCAGAAUGGUUGGAAAUCAUUCGUAGCGUGUAAAGGCAUAAGCAAGCUUGACUGGGAGCAACAACUCGAGCAGGUACGAAAGUAGGCUUAGUGAUCCGGUGGUUCCGCAUGGAAGGGCCAUCGCUCAACGGAAAAAGCUACCCUGGGGAUAACAGGCUAUCUCCCCCAAGAGUCCACAUCGACGGGGAGGUUUGGCACCUCGAUGUCGGCUCAUCGCAUCCUGGGGCUGUAGUCGGUCCCAAGGGUUGGGCUGUUCGCCCAUUAAAGCGGUACGCGAGCUGGGUUCAGAACGUCGUGAGACAGUUCGGUCCCUAUCCGUCGCGGGCGAGGAAAUUGAGAGGAGUUGCCCUUAGUACGAGAGGACCGGGGUGAACAAACCGCUGGUGUACCAGUUGUUCCGCCAGGAGCAUUGCUGGGUAGCUAUGUUUGGAAGAGAUAAACGCUGAAAGCAUCUAAGUGUGAAACUCGCCUCGAGAUGAGAUUUCCCAUUCGCAAGAAGUAAGACCCCUUAGAGAUUAUGAGGUAGAUAGGCUAGAAGUGGUAGUUGAGUGAUCAAUGGAGCGGACUAGUACUAAUAG
rnacentral:rRNA from 1 species